AUACUUACCUGGCAGGGCAAAUACCAUGACCAGAAGGUGGUUUCCCCGGGCGAGGCUAAUCGAUCGUGCAGAUGCGCUGACCCCCGCAAUCUCCCCACAUGUGCGAAACUCGAUUGCAUCCUUUGUGGUCGUGGGGGACUGUGUACACACUCUCCCCUG